AGUGAACGCUGGCGGUAGGCCUAACACAUGCAAGUCGAACGGCAGCACAGUAAGAGCUUGCUCUUACGGGUGGCGAGUGGCGGACGGGUGAGGAAUACAUCGGAAUCUACUUUUUCGUGGGGGAUAAUGUAAGGAAACUUACGCUAAUACCGCAUACGACCUACGGGUGAAAGCAGGGGAUCUUCGGACCUUGCGCGAUUGAAUGAGCCGAUGUCGGAUUAGCUAGUUGGCGGGGUAAAGGCCCACCAAGGCGACGAUCCGUAGCUGGUCUGAGAGGAUGAUCAGCCACACUGGAACUGAGACACGGUCCAGACUCCUACGGGAGGCGGCAGUGGGGAAUAUUGGACAAUGGGCGCAAGCCUGAUCCAGCCAUACCGCGUGGGUGAAGAAGGCCUUCGGGUUGUAAAGCCCUUUUGUUGGGAAAGAAAAGCAGCAGGUUAAUACCCCGCUGUUCUGACGGUACCCAAAGAAUAAGCACCGGCUAACUUCGUG
rnacentral:rRNA from 1 species